GGAGGAAAAGAAACCAACCGGGAUUGCCUCAGUAACGGCGAGUGAAGCGGCAAGAGCUCAAAUUUGAAAGCUGGCCCCUCCGGGGUCCGCAUUGUAAUUUGCAGAGGAUGCUUCGGGUGCAGCCCCCGUCUAAGUGCCCUGGAAUGGGCCGUCAGAGAGGGUGAGAAUCCCGUCUGGGAUGGGGUGCCUGUGCCCGUGUGAAGCUCCUUCGACGAGUCGAGUUGUUUGGGAAUGCAGCUCUAAAUGGGUGGUAAAUUUCAUCUAAAGCUAAAUAUUGGCCGGAGACCGAUAGCGCACAAGUAGAGUGAUCGAAAGAUGAAAAGCACUUUGAAAAGAGAGUUAAACAGCACGUGAAAUUGUUGAAAGGGAAGCGCUUGCGACCAGACUCGCCUCCGGGGUUCAGCCGGCAUUCGUGCCGGUGUACUUCCCCGGGGGCGGGCCAGCGUCGGUUUGGGCGGCCGGUCAAAGGCCUCCGGAAUGUAGCGCCCUUCGGGGCGCCUUAUAGCCGGGGGUGCAAUGCGGCCAGCCUGGACCGAGGAACGCGCUUCGGCUCGGACGCUGGCAUAAUGGUCGUAAACGACCCGUCUU
rnacentral:rRNA from 1 species